GUGCGCACGCUCAAAAAUGAUAACAGAACUACCUCUACCUCAGACAAGAGCAGAGACAGGCAAACAUGUUGGGGGGGGAUGAGGAGGGGUGCUAGCCCCUCCUUACUCCUGUAAAAGAAGAAGGAAAAAAAAAGAAAGAAAAAAAGGGAGGAAGAAAGGAAAUCACAGCCAUACGGGCUAUGCUCCCCAGCUGAACUGUAUCUGCAUUUUAACUGUGGGAGAAAUCGCUAUAUGGCGAUGUGCUCCUCCCUCUACCCUGCCAACCUCAUCUGUCAGCCAUUAGUUAAUCAGAGCUGGUAACACACAGAACAGAGAACUGGCACAGAGUGGGGGACCAAAGAACAGCCUCACCUCUGAAAGCAAGAAGAGGGCAAGAGCUCAGGGACCUCUGCUUCAGCGAUCUACAGCUGGGCUGCUUCAAUCACCAGCACCCUCUCAGAUCAAGAUCUUUGUGUAGGACUGGCAGACAGCAACCUCAGCAUGACCCCACCCACUUUUCUCUCCACUAACAGGGAGGUUUUAAAGACAGAAGUCAAAACAACACAUGUUGUCAACAUGGGAACAGCUGGUAAGAGCGGCGUCAUGGGGCAGAAGAAUGUCAAGAGUCAUAGAUCUUUUAUCCAUCAGGCUGAAGAAGCCACCCAAGCUUACUAGCAGAGUCAAAUCCUCUCUUUAAUUCAACUCAACUCAGUUGGCUCUAACUUUAUAACGUUUUCUUUUUAAGUUGUAGAAAUAUGCUGGAUAGCAAAGUUAAGUUAUAGUAAUGAAUGAUUAAAUUCACAUGUGAGAAAUAAUGCAAUAUUAUUCACCCCAGAAUGGGUUCAUUGCAUGAAGUGGAAAUAAUUUCCUGUCUGUCAUAGCAGUUCCGGACGGAGUUGUCAGCUGCAGCAUACAUGAAUAAUCAGCUAAAUCUAAACAGCAUAUUCUGUGCUUCCAUGCCAAAGUAUGACUUUGCCAUCGCCAAAGAGUUAAAUAAACACCCAGUUGAGUAGGCAUAUACAGUUUCUUCAACACUGUUUCCUUUUAAGUCAACACCACUCAGAAAAGAUACACCAAGCCACCAUAAGUCAAAAGGAAUGGCAAAACAGCCAACUGUCUAAACAUUCAACUGAGUGCUGUUUCCAUUAACGUGUUAUAACGAAACAUCCAAUGCUGCUCAGAUGACGAGCACUCUGCAGAUGGGAAAAAUGAUGAAUAACUCCAAACAAACUAAAGCAGAUUCUUGAUGACAAAAGUUGAAAAAUACAAACACCAGGUCAAAAUCUCACCGUCUACCCCCCUCUUCCUGCUAGAUAUUGCCCAGCUGUUUUUCUAAUCUGUCACAGCAACCAGCUUCACACAACAAGUAUAGAAGGAAGUAUGGAAAAGCUCAGGGGAAAGGAAGCACUUGACCUUGUAUUUGAAUUUACAGGGAAAAAAAAGGAAGUUAACAGCUGUUUACUAAAAUGCUUUAUUUCAAUUCUCCAAUAAGCUCUGCUUUCCCAGUGCAUGAUCUUAGUUGUAAAACAUAUAACUCAUGACUCUAUCAGCACAAGAAAUACCAUUUAAAACACAUUAGUCAAAUGUAAUACACUGCGUAUUUCUUUUAAAACACUGUAAUGUAGGUUUUUCAAGACUUCAAGCUAAACUAAUAGUACAAAUUGUAAGUUUUUAAGGAUUACACAUGGAAAAAACACCCAAAAACAAACUGCAGCGUAGUGCAUCACUGACAUGGCAUAUGGAAUUUCUUCACCAUCUGUGCACCAUUGGCCAACUGAGAGCGUAGAAACAGACCUGACAGGUAGCUGAUUCACAUGGAAAAAACAGCACACGCUUGCAAAUAGUUUAGUAUAAGUGUAGCAUCAUCCAAAAUGUUCUAAAUUACACCUGAAACAAACACAGUGGUAGAUAGAAAAUAAAUGGAGCUACCUACUUCUAAAGGGGGGUGAGUGCAUUUUCAGUACACCUAAUUUAUCAAUGUCAUUAGCAUAUGAGUGGGAAAAAAAAAGCUCUCUGACAGAGAUCAUGAGUUCCACUGACUCCAUUUCAUUCCAUCAACUUGAUAGCACUGACAAGCCCGAACAGGACCAGGCCCCAUCCAGUCUGUGUAGGCUUUAUGUGAGAAAACUUGCCGUUUGACUAUGAGAAGCGACUCCUAGAGGCUCCCGACCACUUCAUAAUACUUGACCAAGAGUUGAGGAAAAGCAGACACUCUCAACCUGUGUCAAAGUAAGGCAGUGUUCCCUAUCAUUCGAUGAGCCUGGGGUAAACCAACCUAAACGGUUCCAGACUUUCACGCCCUGUCUCCUCUCAUUUCAUCCUGCUGCAUCUGUUCCCAGCUUGGAUCACCCACAAAACAACAUAUACCCCCUGCUCGAUGGGCUGCGUUCUUAAUUUCUUCCAAUACUCUGCACAAACUCAUUGUGGUUUAGAGUCAAGUCUUAUUCCUCCAGAUGGGGCAGGCACAGCAUUAAUGCCCUCCUUUUACUGCCCUAAUCUAUACGAGAAUGCCUGUGUUAAAAUGUAAAAUGUGUUGUUGACGUUUUUUUAACUACUUCACCAAAUUGCUGAUUUGGAAUCUGAGCUGUGAUCCAAAUAUUUUGAGUUUUCACAUAACAUCUCUCAGCAUCUGCUUGUCCGCCUCCCAAAAAUUAAUGGUUUGCCAAAAUCUGUAGGCCGUAGUGUUGACUUUUAAUCAUCAACUGAACUAUUUUGCUUUCUCUUAAAGGCCGAAAUGAAACAUUAUCUCCUAACUCACAUUUGAAUUAAAGCCAAGACAAGAGCCAUGCUUGUGAGGACCACGAGGGACCUUCCAGCCACAGCUUCAAUUGCUCAAAGUCAACUGGCAUAUGGGCAGGAUCAAGAAACACAAGCCCAAUGAUGUCACGACCAAAUGACCCCAGGGUGAUAGGUUUGGGGAAUGUUCUUGCAAAUGCCCUCAGGCCAAAGUCAAGUAUGUCAAUGUUGUGCAUGUGGAUUUCAUUUAAGCCAUGAUUGGUCCACAAACGCUCAAUGGAGGUCCCCCUCCAUGGGAAACCCACUCUUAACAGGAAACGGUAUGUUUUUGUUAGUAACAAACAGGCAUAAAUUCCUAAAAUGGUGCCUUGGUUGCCAAUUUAUCACACACAGCCUUAUUGUUGAUCUUUGCACACAUUUGACAUUUGCCUCUGAGGUAAUUACCAUUAGUUAAUGAUAUUUGCAUUCUUGAUAGUUUAUGUUGAACUCUGUGUCUGUUAUCCGAAUUUUGUGCAAUAAAUGUGAUAAUUGUUUUGUGUCUUUUCUUUUUAUAAUAUGACAAAUUGUGUUUGGAUGACCUGCAAAUGAAAAAGAAUAUGGCCUUGGGUAAGACAUACUGCAAAAUAAGGGGUCCGGGAUUCAAAAGCAAAAACAAGCUAGAUAUGUUUUGGAUAUUAACGACAAAGAAAAGCAAAGCUUUUUCAAAAUAGCACUCAUAAUUUUGGACAUCAUUGCGUUUUUGUUUAUUUAUCUGUACAAUGAUUUGUUAACUCAUUCUAAGACGAGCCAAUAAAUAACCCAGGAUGUCUUUGGAGAUCAGAAAGUAUGAAAUAUAGUUUCUUAGGGGUUUUAAUAUAUCUAAAAACAUUUGACAUAUAUAAAUUAAAGGUAAAUAGGCAUAAGAUCUCAAAAGAAACUUCUGAUUGAUAGGCUACUGAUGAGGAGUCCUUGAGAAUCAAAACAUACUUUUUGGAAUUAAACUGAUGGACCAGGCUAUUACACAAGGUAAGAAUAUAUUGACAAUGUUAUGCAAUAACAAAAAUCAGCGCCCACAUGAAUGUGGCAUAAGGACAUAAAGUUUUAGGUCUAUUAAUUAAAAAAAUUCCAUAACAUGAAUGAAUCCAUUGCAUGUGGGCGUCUGCAUUUAUUAACAUAGACCUAUUUAACAUAAAUUUUUACAAUGCAGUAAAAUUACCUACAUUUAUUUGCUUAUUGGUGAGUCUGGUGAUUAUGUAUAAAGAAGUCAUUUGAUCAUGUUUAUAGACAUCAUAAUAUUUAUCUUUUAACACAUUUGUAUUUGUGUAUUUCUCCCCAAUUUUACUUAAAGCAGGACAAUGUGACAUCCAUUAAUCAAACAUCAAUACUGUGCAAAUACUGGCGUUUUACAAGUUUACUUUUGGAUCUCCUUCACUAAAUAAUCUUUGCCAGCAUGAAUUAAUACCAAUUAUUGUUGUAGUAAAAGUAAUACUCUGUGGAUCUCCUGCCAAAUACAUUACAGAGAGCUCCAUUAAUACAAUGGUAAACAGAUGUGCCACCAGGCGCCAAAGUUUGAUUUGGACUGUGCAUGCUUUCUCCAGGGAGAUUACGAAAUAAAAUGCUCCAACUCAUAAAAGGAAAAGGCCAGCCUCGUUCUUCUGCUGUAUUAUGCAGAGGUAUGCAAAGUCUUGCAGAUACUAUGGAGAAAGACUUAAAAUAUGCCCCCAAAGGAUUACUGAAAUGGCAGCUAAACUGCAUGAAGUCAACUGAGGGUCAAAUACCAAAACUUAUCAGAAUGGGCCAAAAGUCAUGUCUUUUCCAUGGGCUGUUUACAGUAACUCAUCUACACACAAUACAGUGCAUAAACAUGUGGUUUACCAAUGUACUGCAUAGCAACUCUAUUUGUAAGAUGCAAUGUCAAAAAAAUAAAUCAUAUAUUUUAAAUAAUA